rnacentral:rRNA from 1 species
AUUGAACGCUGGCGGCAUGCCUAACACAUGCAAGUCGAACGGUAACAGAAGGAGGUUUGCUCUCUUGCGUACGCGUCGCGCACGGGUGUGUAAUGUCUGUGACACUCCCAGAUGGAUGGGGUUAACUACUGGAACCGGUACCUAAACCCGCAUAACUUCGCAACCCCAAAGUGGGGGACUUUCGGGCCUCCUUCCAGCCGCUGUGCCCAGAUGGGAUUAGCUUGUUGGUGGGGUAACGGCUUACCAAGGCGACGAUCCAUAGCUGAUCUGAGAGGAUGACCAGCCACACUGGAACUGAGACACGGUCCAGACUCCUACGGGAGGCAGCAGUAGGGAAUAUUGCGCAAUGGGCGAAAGCCUGAUGGAGCCAUGCCGCGUGUAUGAAGAAGGCCUUCGGAUUGUAAAGUUCUUUUAGCGGGGAAGAAGAGAGUAAAAUUAAUACGUGUGCUCAUUGACGUUACCCGAAGAAAAAGCACCGGCUAACUCCGUG